GGAUUGCUUUUAUAAUGAUUGCGCUCCGCUUGUGCGGGGCUAUGAUGCUAAACACCCCGCAGAAUAGGUGUUGCGGACCCGGGGGCGGUACCCGGCGCCUCCACCAUUUCUUUCAUGGGGGCGACACAGGAUUGACGUGCACAAUAAAGACGGGAUUUGCAUCCGGCAUAGUACCACCGUAUCGGGCUGUUUUUAUGAAUGCGAACGAUAAUCGCACUCAGGUUGCUCUCGCCGCGUAAUGCGGUCGGAAAGACCACUUUAAUCCCUUGACCUUGAGCGGUUAAGGUGGGGCGGGGGACUGCCUAGCAACAGAAGUGU
rnacentral:tmRNA from 1 species